rnacentral:rRNA from 1 species
GCUCAGUAACACGUGGAUAAUCUGCCCUAUGGUGGAGGAUAACCCCGGGAAACUGGGGAUAAUACUCCAUAAGUCAGGAGUACUGGAAUGUCUCCUAACUGAAAGUUGCGGCGCCAUAGGAUGAAUCUGCGGCCGAUUAGGUAGUUGUUGGGGUAACGGCCCAACAAGCCUGUAAUCGGUACGGGUUGUGGGAGCAAGAGCCCGGAGAUGGAAUCUGAGACACGAUUCCAGGCCCUACGGGGCGCAGCAGGCGCGAAAACUUUACAAUGCAGGAAACUGUGAUAAGGGAACCCCGAGUGCCCGUAAACGCGGGCUGUCCCGGUGUUUAAAACACAUCGGAAGAAAGGGCCGGGCAAGACCGGUGCCAGCCGCCGCGGUAAUACCGGCGGCUCGAGUGGUGACCACUUUUAUUGGGCUUAAAGCGUUCGUAGCUUGAUUUUUAAGUCUCUUGGGAAAUCUCACGGCUUAACUGUGAGGCGUCUAAGAGAUACUGGGAAUCUAGGGACCGGGAGAGGUAAGAGGUACUUCAGGGGUAGAAGUGAAAUUCUGUAAUCCUUGAGGGACCACCGAUGGCGAAGGCAUCUUACCAGAACGGCUUCGACAGUGAGGAACGAAAGCUGGGGGAGCGAACGGGAUUAGAUACCCCGGUAGUCCCAGCCGUAAACUAUGCGCGUUAGGUGUGCCUGUAACUACGAGUUACCGGGGUGCCGAAGUGAAAACGUGAAACGUGCCGCCUGGGAAGUACGGUCGCAAGGCUGAAACUUAAAGGAAUUGGCGGGGGAGCACCACAACGGGUGGAGCCUGCGGUUUAAUUGGACUCAACGCCGGGCAGCUCACCGGAUAGGACAGCGGAAUGAUAGCCGGGCUGAAGACCUUGCUUGACCAGCUGAGAGGAGGUGCAUGGCCGUCGUCAGUUCGUACUGUGAAGCAUCCUGUUUAGUCAGGCAACGAGCGAGACCCA